GCGACACUCCAUUGGACAUUGCGGCAAUGAAGGGCAGACUGCAUUUUGUGAAGCGUCUAGUCCCAAACAUGUUACUGCAUAAGACAACAAAGCAACAGUGUCUGUCACUAUUUGUACAAGCUUGCGCCAAUUCUGCUGACAAUUGCGUACCAGUACUACAGGACGGCAUCUUGGAUUGCAUAGUUGGUGUGCACAUUAGUCAAGAAGACAUGGAUGCUUGCACUGAGGUACUCGGGAGACUAUCCAAACAUCGUUUAUCGGCGCUCUCCCAGGAAGCCAUAACCAUUCGGAAAGAACUACCUCCACCGCUUCUGGUGAGUUCAGGGCCUAUGUUGUGAGAAGUGACAGUACUCCCCACACCCUCUGUAACCCACAUAGUUUCUGGGCGUCAU